CGCGUAGGCGGGAUGACAAGUCGGUCGUGAAAUCCCUCGGCUCAACUGAGGAACGUCGAUCGAUACUGCCAUUCUUGAGGAUUGCAGAGGAGACUGGAAUUCCCGGUGUAGCGGUGAAAUGUGUAGAGAUCGGGAGGAACACCGGUGGCGAAGGCGGGUCUCUGGGCAAUUCCUGACGCUGAGGCGCGAAAGCGUGGGGAGCAAACGGGAUUAGAUACCCCGGUAGUCCACGCUGUAAACGAUGACGACUAGGUGUGGGGGGGUUCAGUCCCCUCCGUGCCGCAGCUAACGCAUUAAGUCGUCCGCCUGGGGAGUACGGCCGCAAGGUUGAA
rnacentral:rRNA from 1 species